rnacentral:rRNA from 1 species
AUUUUUUUAAGAAAUAAUUUAAAAUAAAACCUGCUCAAUGUAAUAUAAAUAGCUGCAAAAUACUUGUACUAAGGUAGCAUAAUCAUUAGCUUUUUAAUUUAAAGAUAGAAUGAAUGGUUAAACGAGAUAAUUUCUAUUUCAUAAAUUUAAGUUAAUUUUUAAAAAAAGUAAAAAUUCUUUUAUAAAUAAAAAAGACAACAAGACCCUAAUAAACUUAAUAAAAUAAAUAUUUAGCUGGGGAGGCUUAAUAAAAAUACCUUAAAUUAAUUUAUAUUUAAAUUAACUUUAAAUUUAAAAUUUAAAUAAAGUUACUAUAGGGAUAACAGCGCAAUAUUAAUUUAAAGACCAUAUAAAAAUUAAAAAAUUUACGACCUCGAUGUUGAAUUUUAAUUAAACUUUAAAAAGUAAAAUUUUUAAAAGAAAGUCUGU